UACGUAGGGCGCAAGCGUUAUCCGGAAUUAUUGGGCGUAAAGAGCUCGUAGGCGGCCGUGCAAGUCGGGUGUGAAAGCCCUCGCCUCAACCGAGGAAGUGCGCCCGAAACUGCAUGGCUUGAGUACCGGAGAGGAUGGCGGAAUUCCCCAAGUAGAGGUGAAAUUCGUAGAUAUGGGGAGGAACACCGGUGGCGAAGGCGGCCAUCUGGACGGAUACUGACGCUGAGACGGCGAAAGCGUGGGGAGCAAACAGG
rnacentral:rRNA from 1 species